rnacentral:lncRNA from 1 species
GCACAGCUUGAAUUUAAAUGCAUCGAUAAAACUACAUCUCAUUUCUAGAAUAUCUUAUUAGCUUGAUACGGCCCUCCAGUGCCCCAACAGGAAAGUAAAUCUUGCUGACGAGGUUGCUCAGGACAAGAUGAAAAGGUUGAUUAACUUGCAAUCUUAUAAAUUAUACUACUCCCACCAUCUAUUAUUCGGGUGUGCGUGGCAUUGGC